rnacentral:rRNA from 1 species
AUUGAACGCUGGCGGCAGGCCUAAUACAUGCAAGUCGAACGGUAACAUAAGAAAAGCUUGCUUUUCUUGAUGACGAGUGGCGGACGGGUGAGUAAGAUUUGGGAAACUACCUGAUAGAGGGGGACAACAGUUGGAAACGACUGCUAAUACCGCAUACAGCCUCAGGGUGAAAGAAGCGAUUCGCUAUCAGAUGUGCCCAAACGGGAUUAGCUAGUAGGUGAGGUAAAGGCUCACCUAGGCGACGAUCUCUAGCUGGUCUGAGAGGAUGAUCAGCCACAUUGGGACUGAGACACGGCCCAGACUCCUACGGGAGGCAGCAGUAGGGAAUAUUGCACAAUGGAGGAAACUCUGAUGCAGCCAUGCCGCGUGUGUGAAGAAGGCCUUCGGGUUGUUAAAGCUCUGUUUCCUAGGGACGAGUAAUGACGGUACCUGGGAGGAAGGCACGGCUAACUACGUGCCAGCAGCCGCGGU